rnacentral:rRNA from 1 species
UACGGGGGGGGCAAGCGUUUGUUCGGAAUUACUGGGCGUAAGGGCGCGUAGGCGGUUCGCUAAGUUGAAUGUGAAAACUCUGGGCUUAACCCAGAGCCUGCAUUCAAUACUGGCGGGCUAGAGUUCUGGAGGGGAUAGCGGAAUUCCUGGUGUAGCGGUGAAAUGCGUAGAUAUCAGGAGGAACACCGGUGGCGAAGGCGGCUAUCUGGACAGAGUCUGACGCUGAGGCGCGAAAGCUAGGGGAGCAAACAGG